UGGUGGUAAUAAUUAGAAAAGUCAAAACUAAUGGGUGAUGACCUUCUCAACAGCAGAACUUACCACAGUGGAUAACUGUCACUGAUCAGUGUGCUUUGAUGUUUUGUGUGACAGUACCAUGUAGGAGACUCAGAUAAAGUCAUGUGGAUGUGCUUGACAUUAUGAAUAACAAGGAGCCUCAGAAAAUAAAAGUAUUGAAGAGGCAUAUCCUUGUGAUCAUGUUUGGAAAAAGACAGAGAAAGAUGACAAUGCAGAAAGCCAGAUCUGUGAAGCACACACAAGCACAUCCAGUUUACAAUGUUAUAAUUUGUUAUUAUCCAGAACAAAUUUUUUUGAGACAUUUGUUUUGGAAAUGGGUGUCUGAGUUGUAAGAGGGUAUGGGGUCGCCCACUCAGACACGUGGGUUUUCUCCGGGUGCUCCGGUUUCCUCCCACACUGACCCCAUUCUUUUUCUCUAUGUCAAAGAGAUAA